UGCCAUUUUAAACCGCGAAAUAGGGGAAAUAGGAGAAUGAAGGGACGUCCAAUAAGAAGAUGGGCCUAAAAUCAGCGCAGGUGACGUUAAAAGAUGUUCGUCUGGCGCGGGAAAUGCAAUUUCUAGUGCAUUGAAGAUUUAUUAUGAUUUAUUGGAGGAAGACCAUACUGGUAAAUAAGAUGACCAAGCUCUGAGACCCGGAUCGCCUUUUGCAACCAUAUCAAGCUUUUUGGCUUCUUCUGGACUCAAUUUUAGAAUUGUGUUCAGCACUGGGACUAAUCUACUCCUUUCAUCUCCAUUGUGCAGAGUCACAAACUUGAAAUUGAAAAAUAAAUUUCAGAAGUUGGAUUUGCUUCUCCGAUAAUAUCAAUAAUAAAAUGAUAUAACUUAUUUAUUAAAUGGUGCCCUUUUCA